AAUUAAAAUAGCAAGAAUGAGCUAUUAAAAAGAUUGAACGAAGAGUUUGAUCCUGGCUCAGGAUGAACGCUGACAGAAUGCUUAACACAUGCAAGUCUACUUGAACUUCGGUUUGGGUGGCGGACGGGUGAGUAACGCGUAAAGAACUUGCCUCACAGUUAGGGACAACAUUUGGAAACGAAUGCUAAUACCUGAUAUUAUGAUUUUAGGGCAUCCUAAGAUUAUGAAAGCUAUAUGCGCUGUGAGAGAGCUUUGCGUCCCAUUAGCUAGUUGGAGAGGUAACGGCUCACCAAGGCGAUGAUGGGUAGCCGGCCUGAGAGGGNNNNNNNNNNGCCACAAGGGGACUGCGCCACGGCCCUUACUCCUACGGGAGGCAGCAGUGGGGAAUAUUGGACAAUGGACCAAAAGUCUGAUCCAGCAAUUCUGUGUGCACGAUGACGUUUUUCGGAAUGUAAAGUGCUUUCAGUUGGGAAGAAAAAAAUGACGGUACCAACAGAAGAAGUGACGGCUAAAUACGUGCCAGCAGCCGCGGUAAUACGUAUGUCACAAGCGUUAUCCGGAUUUAUUGGGCGUAAAGCGCGUCUAGGUGGUUAUGUAAGUCUGAUGUGAAAAUGCAGGGCUCAACUCUGUAUUGCGUUGGAAACUGCAUGACUAGAGUACUGGAGAGGUAAGCGGAACUACAAGUGUAGAGGUGAAAUUCGUAGAUAUUUGUAGGAAUGCCGAUGGGGAAGCCAGCUUACUGGACAGAUACUGACGCUAAAGCGCGAAAGCGUGGGUAGCAAACAGGAUUAGAUACCCUGGUAGUCCACGCCGUAAACGAUGAUUA
rnacentral:rRNA from 1 species